rnacentral:rRNA from 1 species
UACGUAGGCAGCGAGCGUUGUUCGGAAUUACUGGGCGUAAAGAGUGUGUAGGCGGUGUUCCAAGUCCGGUGUGAAAUCUCCCGGCUUAACUGGGAGGGUGCGCCGGAAACUGGAAUGCUCGAGGGUGGGAGAGGUAAGCGGAAUUCCUGGUGUAGCGGUGAAAUGCGUAGAUAUCAGGAGGAACACCUGUGGUGUAGACAGCUUACUGGACCACUUCUGACGCUGAGACACGAAAGCGUGGGUAGCAAACAGG